rfam:Planomicrobium sp. ES2 genome assembly, contig: CONTIG000001
CCGCGACGUUGAUUAUGCCGAAGCCGCGUAAGCGAGCAGAGGUACAGUCGUCCUGGCCGGUAACAGCCAGAGAUUACGAUCGGGUGAAUUGCUGGAAACCCCUUAUAGCUUUUAUUGCCACAACGCAGUUGGAAACGACAAACGUGACGGUUCGAAAAAAUAAAAGAUUGGGCAAUCAGCAGCCAAGCUCCUGUCUCGAAAGAGUGGAGAAGGUUCAACGACUAGGAUAGACCAUCUAAGGCGAGAGCUAUGGUGAUGAAAUCCGUAGGUGACACAGUGUCCAUCAGCACUGGUCGAUCCGAAGUGCCCGGCCCCUACUAAUUUAGAGGGUGAAGAUAUAGUCUAGUCAUUUAUGAAAGUAAAUG